GGUAGCUGUACUUGAACAUGUUUCGAAUUUUUAACGGUUCUAAUGGUUGGUUGCUUUAUUGCUAUAUAUAUAUAUAUAUAUAUAUAUAUAUAUAUAUAUAUAUAUAUAGCAAUAAAUAAAUCUUAAUUAACACUUUAUUAUACGUCUUUGGGCUUUUACACGGGAAGUCCAAGCUGGAUUAGUUUGUCUUUUAUGGAUGAUUGUGGAUCCACCACGUGGUUCCAGACGCUGCAAAGCUACGGAAUGAACAUGAUCUAGUGCUAAUGGCGCUAGCCAUCCUACGCCGCCAUGAUGGCUAGCUAAUAAGAAGUCCUUUAUGACCACGGCUCUUCACUCUAAACAUCACGGAGCGCAAUGUCAAACAUCCUGGUGCUUCAAUCCAUCGCAGAACCCCUGGUAUCAGCAAGGCAAGUGAUCUUGCUAUGUGUUGGAAUCAUAUAGUUGGUGUCAUGAUGAAAACCUAAACUGACAAUGAGCUGGAAUUACCGUCAGAAUGUUCAGUGGUGAUCAUCGGUUUUCUGAACACCAACAUCCUGCUGAAUUAUUAUAAAAUGCCCUAAAUUGACUCUUUGGGAUGUGAAAUCUAACUUUUUUUUUUUUUUUUUUUUUUUUUUUUUUUUUUUUGUAGGAUUAAAAUGACCACCUGAGCACCAUAUCAAAGUAUUUACAGAUCUGAUUUGAUGUUGGACUGGGGUGUCAUGAUUCUCAAACUGUCUACUGCAGAUAAUGGAUCUGGGGUGGCAGAGAUGAUGUCAAGUUUUGAAACCAAUGCAGAAUUAAAGAUUGUCCAGUGAUUCUAUUUGAAUGUCUAUGUAGUGAUCAAAACCUGUGGGGUUUUUUUUUUUUGUUUUUUUGCUGAAAUAAAACUUUGAAGUGGAUGCAUUGUUUGUUCCUUGUCUUUGCAUUAAGUGGAGUUUGAGUACAAAAUUAUUAAAUGAGUUACAUUGUGGGGAAUAUGGAGUUUUAUAAAUGUACUUUAAAUUUUGUGGUAAAAUUAAGGGUCCUUGAUCCUGACCAGGGCUUUGUACAAGUUGCUUGAAUUUGGCCUUUAGAAGUUUAUGUAUUGGAAAACUUCUUAUAUGUAAAUUAAGCCAUAUUAAAAGUGCUUGACAAAUCAAAUAUGAAAUCAUUUUUGUUUAUACAGUUUGUAUUAGUGUUCUAUCAGAUCUUUCCACUCAAUACGACGACCUGCUGCAUUAACAGCUCAUUGUUCAGUGAGUGGCUGAGAGGAGCAGCACAUUCAGUUGCUUCUAGCUUUCUGUGAUAAUUUUGAUUGUAAAUAUAGCUGGAAAUUGGCACAUCUUUAGCUUGUGAGUUAGACGCAGUUAUAAAUCAGGAUGUUAGCAGAGCAGCAGCUUGGGAGUGACUCCUGGUUAGAUGUACCUUGUUAUGUUCAUAUGCGUUCUAUUUUCUGACAAAAAUGACUUGGGGAUUUAAAAUGCAGUAUGCAAGCACAGAAUAGGAGAGAAGGUAAAGGGCUGACUCUAGGCAGCAAAUGAAAAUACGAGGGAUGAUGUAAUAUGCUAAUUAGUGCAUGAAAUAAUUUAGUGAGUUUCCACUGAAAGUUAUUGGCAACAAUGCUCCUGUCACUCAUGUGGUGUAUACUGACAAAAUGCAAAUUUAGUCCAGCAUGGCUGGAAAAGGCAACAUAUAAAAAUUGUUUGUGUUGUAUUAUUUCUUUUGGAAUUUAAAAAGAAGAAUAAAAGACUGUUUAAAUGCCAUCUCUUGUGGGGGAUGCAGUGGCUUAAUAGUUAUGUUUGCCUCAAACCUUCAGGGUCGGGGGGCUCAAUGCCUGCUGCCACCCUGUGUGUAUGGACCUUGCCCUUUCUCCAUGUGCUUUGGGGGUUUCCUCCCCCAGUCCAAAGACAUGCAUUGUAAACUGAUUGGUAUCUCUAAAUUGUCCAUAGUGUGUGUGUGUGAUUGUGCCCAGUGAUGGGUUGGGUCCCUGUGCAGGGUGUCCCUGGCCUCAUGCCCUGUGAGUCCACUGUGAUAGGCUCCAGGCUCCCCCUGACCCUGUGUAGGAUAAGUGGUACAGAAAAUGGAUGGACACCUCUUGUAUAGUCCUCGAAAACAAAGAAAAAUAGUGCUUUACGAAGUCCUGGAAUUUCAUUAUGAAGAAUCUGUACAAACCCUGCUGAUAGUACUCCUCUCAGACAUUUUCGACACUAUGUAAUUGGUACAUUCUCCAUGCCAAAAUACAGUUUAUUGUAACUGACAUACACCCAGAUAAUUAUUGUACAACUUAAGAAGGGACACUCAAAUCAAUUUGACAUAUUUUCCACUUGGACCAAAUAUUUUCUGUAAACGUUGACCCCAUACUGUCCUUCUCAGCUGCCAAUGAUUUAGAUAUGCUUUCUUGCUCCAGAGUCAAAAGCAAUGAUUUAGGGAUAUCAGAAGUAUUUAUUUUAACUUAUAAAAGUGUACAUGUCAAUGGGUAAAUUAACAAUACAUAAAUCUAGAUUCAGUUCCUUCUAAUUUGGAUAAAAAUCUGCCAUGACAAGAGGUGAGCUCAGAAAUCGCACAAGAACUAACUGCUCAUAUAAUGUAAUUUCACUUCAAACUAAAAUUUGUAAUUAGGCUUUGUCUGCUAUUUUACAAAAACAAACAGUACCCUCUGAAAGAACUGGAACAGCAAGGCAGAUUCUAUUGUUUUCGCUAUACAUUGAAGACAUUCAGGUUUGAGAUCAAAAGAUGAGUACGAGACAACAGAUCAGAAUUUCAGCAUUCAUUACCUCAUAUUUAAACCUACAUGUGUUAAACAACUUAGAACAUGGCAGCUUUAGUUUCAGCCCACCAAAUUCUUCAAGUAAUCAAAUUUGUAAAAGAAAAAAAAAAAUAUAUAGGUGUUUCGUACUGCCCAGGUUUGUCCUGUUAAAUUGGUUGUUUAAAGAAUUAAUAGCUCUGAUAUCUACAUGGUUUGAGCCCUGGGUUUCACCUGUGAAGACUGG
ensembl:lncRNA